GAUUUUUUUUUUCUUCUGCCCUUCUCUCUAUUGUUCUUUUUUUACUUCUUUCUUUCUUGAAAUUCUUCUAUCUGCUUUUCUUGAUUUCCCCUCACAAUUCUCUUUCCCUGUCUUCCUAUUCUUCUCUUUGAGAAUCAAGAACCCUUUCUUUCUUUGGAAACAAGUCUUUUUCUAUCAGUCUUUUUCCUGUUUUGGGUGUUACAACAUCAGGUUAUGGAAAAACUAUCUUGGGAAUAAAAGAUUCUUGCUCUAGAACAUGGCAUGCACAAAGUUAAUGAGAAAGGAUUUAAAAGAUUUGAAGAGUUUCUGGAGCAGAAAUUUAAAAAACUAGAAUUGCUGGAUCAGAAAGUGGAACGAUUGGAGAGUCGAUUCAAGCUGCACAACCCAAAGAUCGAUUUCAAGAUUGGAGCAGAAAUACCAAAUUCAAGCAGAAAAUAUUCAUCAGGGUUUUAAAGAAAAUGAUUCUGUAAUUGUUGCCAGCUGCAAGAAAAAAGCAAUCUUGAAUCAAAGUUGAAGGUUGGUGAGUUCUUUGCUAGUGCUGGAAAAAUGGAAGACUCCAACAUCAAAUCUAAACCCUCAAAUCAAGAUAACUAUGGUAUGAUUCUUGCCUUUGAAUCUAUUGCAGUUUCAGAAAGAGAAUUUGAGGUGUCAUUAAAAAAUUCUGGGUA
rnacentral:misc_RNA from 1 species